CCCAGCAGCCCCUGGUCCCAGCCCUUGAUGACCUGCCCGGUGCCCAGCGAGAACACGAACGGCUGCUCCCGGCUCAGGCUGCUGUCGAAGGGGGUCCCGUCCUCCAGCGUGCCCUGCACCAGUACGGACCAGUACAAACCAGUGCGGACCAGUACAAACCAGUACGGACCAGUACAGACCAGCAAAAACCAGUAUGGACCAGUGAAAACAGGUGCAGCCCAGUACAGACGAGUACGGACCAGUAUGAACCAGUAUGAACCAGUAUGGAGCAGUACAAACCAGUAAAACCAGGUACAAACCAGUACAGACCGGUAUAAAUCGGUCUGGACAAGUGCAUGCCCCCAGUCCCCCCAGUCCGUCCCAGUUUGUCCCAGUGCCCCUUCUCUCCCUCCCAGUACCAUUUUUGUCCCCAAAAUCGCCGUUUUUCACCCCAAACCCGCCGGGAUUUUUGCCCCCCAGUCCAUCCCAGUUCCCCCAGUUUGUCCCAGUCCAUCCCAGUACCUGGUAGUGCAGGGUCAACACGUCCCCCCAGUUAAUCCCAGUCAAUCCCAGUGCCUCCAGUACCUGGUAGUGCAGGGUCAGCACGUCCCCCCAGUCCAUCCCAGUCCAUCCCAGUCCCUCCCAGUGCUCCCAGUACCUGGUAGUGCAGGGUCAGCACGUCCCCCCGCCGGCUCCGCUCCCCGCAGCGCUCCGGCCGCCGCCUCACCCCGAUCUGCACCUUGCGCGGCUCGGCCGCCAGGGGGCGCUCGGGGGGCAGCGCCAGCGCCAGCGCCAGCAGCAGCCACUGGGGCGGUAAUUAACGUAAUUAACGGCGCUCAUUAGCGCCGAGUGCCGCCCCAAUGUCACUGACUGUCACUGAGUGUCACCCGAGUGUCCCCGGCACGGCCCGAGUCACCCUGACAGCGACAGCGCCAGCAGCAGCCACUGGGGGGCGACAACCGGCGCUAAUUAACGGCGCUAAUUAGCACCGAGUCUCACCCUAAUGCCGUUAAUGAGCACUCGCUGUCACCUUAAUGUCAUUGAUUGUCACCCAAACGUCACCUGGAGUGUCCCCAGCACAGCCCGAGUCCCCCUGGCAGCGGCGGCAGCAGCCACCGGCGGCAGGUGAUUAACGUAAUUAACCUCAUUAAUUAGCGCUGAGUGCCACCCCAAUGUCGUUCGCUGUCACUGAGUGUCCCCUGAGUGUCCCCAGCCCCCCCGCGUCCCCCCGCUGGGGGGCGCUGCACCCGGGCGCGCCCGUGACGUCACAGGCGCAGCGGCGAUGACGUCACGGCCGCUCAAACCCCGCCCCCGGGGCUCCGCCAACGCCCAUCCCCCCCCCCCCCCCCCCCCCCCCCCCCCCCCCCCCCCCCCCCCCCCCCCCCCCCCCCCCCCCCCCCCCCCCCCCCC
rnacentral:lncRNA from 12 species